GACGAACGCUGGCGGCGUGCUUAACACAUGCAAGUCGAACGGAAAGGCCCUGCUUGCAGGGUGUUCGAGUGGCGAACGGGUGAGUAACACGUGGGUGAACCGCCCCUUACUUUGGGGUAAGACUGGGAAAAUGGGUCUAAAACUGGAUAGGACCAUGCAGUAGGUGGUGUGGUGGAAAGAUUAGUUUCGGUGAGGGAUGAGCACGCGGCCGAUCAGCUUGUUGGUGGGGUAGUGGCCUACCAAGGCGGCGACGGGUAGCCGGCCGGAGGGGGUGGACGGCCGCAUCGGGGCGGCGAUGCGGCCCACAAUCCUGCGGGAGGCGGCAGUGGGGGAUAUUGCACCAUAGGCGGAAGCCUGAUGCAGCGACGCCGCGGGGUGGGUGACGGCCUUCGGGUGGUAAACACCUGUCUGCCAUUACGAAGCCCUUGUGGUGACGGUAGUGGUAGAAGAAGCACCGGCUAACUACGUG
rnacentral:rRNA from 1 species